rnacentral:rRNA from 1 species
AGUGAACGCUGGCGGUAGGCCUAACACAUGCAAGUCGAACGGCAGCACAGUAAGAGCUUGCUCUUACGGGAGGCGAGUGGCGGACGGGUGAGGAAUACAUCGGAAUCUACUUUUUCGUGGGGGAUAACGUAGGGAAACUUACGCUAAUACCGCAUACGACCUACGGGUGAAAGCAGGGGAUCUUCGGACCUUGCGCGAUUGAAUGAGCCGAUGUCGGAUUAGCUAGUUGGCGGGGUAAAGGCCCACCAAGGCGACGGUCCGUAGCUGGUCUGAGAGGAUGAUCGGCCACACUGGAACUGAGACACGGUCCAGACUCCUACGGGAUGCAGCAGUGGGGAAUAUUGGACAAUGGGCGCAAGCCUGAUCCAGCCAUACCGCGUGGGUGAAGAAGGCCUUCGGGUUGUAAAGCCCUUUUGUUGGGAAAGAAAAGCAGCAGGUUAAUACCCCGCUGUUCUGACGGUACCCAAAGAAUAAGCACCGGCUAACUUCGUG